CCUACGGGUUGCAAAGUUCUGUCGAAGGGGAAGAAAAUGACGGUACACGGCAAGAAAGAUCAGGCUAACUACGUGCCAGCAGCCGCGGUAAGACGUAGGGAGCAAGAGUUGGCCGGAAUUACUGGGUGUAAAGGGAGCGGAGGCGGGAGGAUAAGGUGAAGGUGAAAUCUAUGGGCUCAACCCAUAGCUGCGUUCAAAACUGUUCUUCUUGAGUGAAGUAGAGGCAGGCGGAAUUCCUCGUGUAGCGGUGAAAUGCGUAGAUCUUAGGAGGCACACCAGUGGCGAAGGCGGCCUGCUGGGCUUUUCCUGACGCUGAGGCUCGAAAGCGUGGGUAGCACCCCGGCUUAGCUCCCCGAGUAGUC
rnacentral:rRNA from 1 species